UUCUUACUGACAUUAUUGUAAGUAACACCUGCUCAAUGAAUAUUUUUAAAUAGCCGCGGAAAUUUAACCGUGCUAAGGUAGCAUAAUCAUUAGCCUCUUAAUUAGAGGCUCGUAUGAACGGUGAAACAUUUCAAUUACUUUUUUAGUUAAUAUUUUUAAAUUUAAAUUAAGAAUAAAAAUGUUCUUAUAAAUAAAAUAGACGAUAAGACCCUUUUGAACUUUACUCUAGUUUAGCUGGGGCAGCUAAAAAAAAAUAAUCUUAUUUUUAAUAUUUAAAUAAAUGAUCCAAUAAAAUUGAUUAUAUGAACAAGUUACCAUAGGGAUAACAGCGUAAUAUCUUUUUAAAGCUCUUAUUAAAAAAGAAGAUUGCGACCUCGAUGUUGAAUUAGUGUAACUUUACUGAUGCAGUAAUUUUAAAAGUAGGUCUGUUCGACCUUUAAAACAUUACAU
rnacentral:rRNA from 1 species